CUGACCUCCAAUCAGGUAGGACUACCCGCUGAACUUAAGCAUAUCAAUAAGCAGGAGGAA
rnacentral:rRNA from 1 species